rnacentral:rRNA from 1 species
CGGCGUGCCUAAUACAUGCAAGUCGAACGCAUUGUGGUUGAAAUGAUAUGAAGAACUUGUUCAGAUUUGAUUUUCAACAUUGCAAUGAGUGGCGAACGGGUGAGUAACACGUGGGAAACCUACCUCUUAGCAGGGGAUAACAUUUGGAAACAAAUGCUAAUACCGUAUAAUAAUUAAAACCGCAUGGUUUUAGUUUAAAAGAUGGUCUUGCUAUCACUAAGAGAUGGUCCCGCGGUGUAUUAGUUAGUUGGUGAGGUAAUGGCUCACCAAGACAAUGAUACAUAGCCGAGUUGAGAGACUGACCGGCCACAAUGGGACUGAGACACGGCCCAUACUCCUACGGGAGGCAGCAGUAGGGGAUCUUCCACAAUGGACGAAAGUCUGAUGGAGCAACGCCGCGUGUGUGAUGAAGGGUUUCGGCUCGUAAAACACUGUUGUAAGAGAAGAAUGACAUUGAGGGUAACUGUUCAAUGUGUGACGGUAUCUUACCAGAAAGGAACGGCUAAAUACGUG